rnacentral:rRNA from 1 species
GUGACCUCGGAUCAGUAGAAGCCUCAU